CCUUGGUUCACACGCUAGGAAAGAAAAGGGAUGAUCUUGGUCUUGGCGUGAACUUCCACAUGAACGUGACUCCGUGCCUACCUGCUAAUAAGAGCGGGAGUGUGGAUUGUGCACAUAGGUGGGGACGGGGUGAGAACUUGGGGUGUGGCGUGUCCCUGUGGGUGGACACAUUGUGAACAGUAAGUAUCAUGAAUGUGUGACAGCAUGUGGGGCACGUGGGUGAGCGUGUAUGCAUGUACACAGGCUGUCUGCUCAGGUCCUGGGGGAGGGACUCAGAAUCCGCCUCACACCCAUGGAGAGUUCUCGCAAUGGGUAUGGCAAACUUCCUGACCAACAGGCUUCUGGACUUCUGACUCAGCACCAGUCCUGCUCCUUCUGUCUCAAUGACUGUCCCCUGUCCCUGGAGAUGUAAAAGUUCCAGGCUCUCCUACCACACCUAGGCUGGACUUACUGAUUCCAAGGUGAAAAUAAGCCAUCACGUAUUGACCAUCUGUCAGCAAGUAUCUACCCUGCAAAAUACUUUUCACACACUCUCUCACUUAUCCUCACCAUGCCUAGAGAUGGGACUUUGUCUCCAUGUGACUUAUGAAGACACUGAGGACCAGCAAGGCGAGACAACUGUUUGAGGCCACACAGCAACAGAACCAGACCUCGAUCAAACCCAAAGCCCGUGCUCUGUCCGUGUGCUGCCUCCGAGAAGCCAUGGCCAAGAAAGGUCUUUGCACCAGAGCUCACCAAUGUCUCGGAGAGGUCCUCCCUUCCUGCCAGCCAUUGAUGAUCCUGGAGGAUGAACGGGUCGUCUAAAACAGAUGACGCUGGUGCGGGCCCCAGGGAGUUCCACCAAGAGCCUUAGGAUUUAUCAUGUGGGAGGGUAGUUAGUUCCCAAACGCAGGUGCCAGGACUACAGACAGGGCAACGGAGAGCAGGGGCUUGCUGGAGAAAUCCAUCCUUCCCUGGGAUCUCUUGGAGGGCUCUCCAUCUCUCUUAGAGCAGUUUCUUUCUUAGACAGUUGAAGCUGCCUCAGUGGUCUCCCCAGAUCAUGCAGGUCGGGGCAGAAGCUUCUCACUCAGAGAACUGAGAAUAUCAUUUUUCACAGAAGUCUAAGGUGGAAUUUAGACCAAGAUAUUCUUGGCCUUAGCAGUUUGACUCGGGCGGGGGUUUGAAGCUGGAACUUUUCAACAUACAUCUCCAAGCUUCAGGAGGAAGCUAGACACAUCUGAAAGCCUCUGAACAACCUGCGAUGAAGAUUCUUGAAAAAAGAGACCAUUUGCCUUAGGGGCUAAGAGUACAGGUGCAAGAGACAGACCGCCCACAUUAAAAUCUGACUCCACUCCUGAGCUGUGUGACUUUGGGGAAGUUCCUCAACUGAAGUCACAAAGACCUAAUCUGGGAGGUGGGAAUAGUCAUAGAAAAAGGAUCGUGGGGAAAUGAAACGAGAGAAUACAUGUAACGUUCUUGGCUCACAGCGCCCGGUGAAUGUUAGCUGCUAUUACUGUUGUUCCUACCACCGCACCCUCUCCCAUUCCUUUCCUUCUCAAUUCUAUUGACAUUUUUGGUGUCUAACUCCUUUUGAGAGAUCAUGACUUUUGUAGAACUAGGCUGCUUUCACUCUUUGAGGGUGGUCUUUCUGAUUGAUCCAUCAGUCUGCAUUCUCCUUGCCGUCCUUGGUAUGCACACACAUGCAUGGAAGCUAUAUUCCUCCUUCAUACUGGACUUUGAGGACAACGUUUUCAUGUUUCACAUUUCCCACUUCAUCUCCUUUGUUUUCCACUUGCUUAGUUUCCUACUCUUCCCUUUAUCCUGAGGUGUCGUGAGGGCAAUGGCCUGCAGAGUCCAAAGGUGGCUGUCAUGUCAUUUGUCCACGUUUGCAUUCCCGUGCCCUCCCCACAGAUGGCUGCUCUCUGGGCUGCACGCACGUUGGGUUCACUGAUCGCAGAGUCUUUUUCUGGCUGCCAAGAACAUGGUAGCCUCCCAGAGGCUGUUGGCAUGUGGAUGCUGCCUCUGUGAUCCACAGCCCCGCCAGGCUGAUGCUUCAGGAAUGGAUCACACCUUGGCUGGACCCAUCAGGCUGGAACACCAGAUUCUUAAUCAACUGUAGGUGCUACUGUCGCUCUAGGACCUGCCGAUGCCCUCUGUCCUUCUCUGGUGACUUUGUCCACGUGGAUCUUCAGUUCCUUCAACAUGUGUGCUUGUUGCCCCUUGGAGCCCACCUCCUCAAGCAAGCCUCCCAGCCCAGUCAGCCCCUGUGCACUCUCAUGUUACCUGUGCAUCUCCUUCACAACUCACGUCACUGAUGGACUUACGCAGUUGGGUGUGUAUUUGGUAACCUGUCUUCCUCCUGCUGAAAUAUCAACUCCAAGAGGGCAAGGAGUGUGUCUAUUUGUUCACUACAGUAUUAUAUGAACACCCCUGGCAUAUAAUAAGUGCUCCCUCAGAAUUUGAGUAUUAUAUGGACACCCUUGGCAUAUAAUAAAUGCUCCCUCAGAAUUUGAGUAUUAUAUGGACACCCUUGGCAUAUAAUAAAUGCUCCCUCAGAAUUUGAGUAUUAUAUGGACACCCCUGGCAUAGAAUAAAUGCUCCCUCAGUAUUUGAAUAAAUAAAUGUGGUGUCAAUUUGGAUUAAUU
rnacentral:lncRNA from 10 species